AUGGACCCGCGCCGCCCUUCCCCGCGCGGCGCCGCCAACGGCAGCGGGUUCUCCUACUCCAACCUCUUCAACCUCGAGCCAUUGCUAAACUUUAAGGUCCCUUUACCGGAAGAUCUUGAUCGAUAUGGGAAUAGUAGCCCAAAUGGGAGCGUGAGUAGUCAAGGUCAAGGGUCCUUGUCGGAUCAGUACAAUGGUGUGAGUGAUGCUUCUCAUGGGCUGCAUCGAAAGCGAAAAAGGCAUCUUGGUGUUGCGAGCGAUGAUGAGGAAGCAGAUGACCACAGUAACCAAAUAACCGAGGAGCACUACCGUACAAUGCUGAGUGAACAUGUUCAAAAGUACAGAAGGUCAAAGGAUAAGGAGGGUGUUUUUGGUUCUGAUCCUCCUCGGGCAGACACCCCCCAAAUGAUAAAACACAAAAAUGGCAAUACAAGAGUUAUGAAAUACAGAAGUGAUUUCAAGGAUGUUGCAGCAUUAGGUGUGUUAGAAACCUCACCUGAGUAUAAUGGGAUGGGAUCUAUUAGUGCAUAUGGUGGUUUCAAUAAGAUUGUAGCUUCACUUGAUUCUUCCUAUUUGGAUAUGGGGGAUAAUGUGAGCUACUUAAUUCCAGAGGGUUAUGAUAAGUUGGCAUCUUCCCUUAAUCUGCCUGUUUUUUCUGAUAUACGUGUCGAGGAGCAUUUCUUGAAUGGCACGCUAGAUCUGCGCACCCUGUCAGCAAUGCUUGGCACUGACCUUAAGUUUGAGGCUACUAGUCGUGGUGGAUUAGCCGAACCUCAGCCUCAACAUGAAUCACUCAAGGAAAGGGUAAAGAUCCAGAAAUUUGCACUUCAAGUAACUGAGGACCCCUUUGCAAUUCCAGAGGGAUCAGCUGGGAGAAUACGAAGAUCUAUUAUUUCAGAAUCUGGUAGUUUGCAGGUUCAUUAUGUUAAAGUCUUGGAAAAAGGAGAUACAUAUGAGAUUAUCGAGCGGAGCUUGCCAAAGAAGCAAAUAGUGAAAAAGGAACAUUCUGAAAAUGUGAAAGAAGAUUUGGCAAGUUUUUUGAAACGCUGGCAUAUUAUUGCUAGAAACAUUCCAAAGCAUCACAGAAAUUUCACUGCUUUGCUGAAGAAACGGCAAAUGGAUGCUAAACGCUUUUCUGAGAAUUGUCAACGGGAGGUGAAGCUCAAGGUCAGCAGGUCACUGAAACUGAUGAGAAGUGCUCCAGUACGCACAAGGAAGCUUGCUAGGGAUAUGUUGAUAUUUUGGAAACGGGUAGACAAGGAACAGUAUGAGUUGAGGAAAAGAGAGGAAAGAGAUGCAGCUGAAGCUUUGAAGCGAGAAGAGGAACUACGCGAAGCAAAAAGACAGCAGCAGAGGCUCAACUUUCUGCUAUCCCAAACUGAGCUCUAUAGUCACUUUAUGCAGAAUAAGGCUGGCGAAUCAGCACUGCCUGAUGAGGGAUCUGCUCCUGAGGUUGAUGACGAGGAAGAUCCCGAGGAAGCUGAAUUAAAAAGAGAGGCUUUUAGAGCUGCUCAGCAUGCCGUUUCCCAACAAAAAAGGAUGACAAAUGCAUUUGAUAGUGAAAUUGUGAGGCUUUGUCAAUCUUCGGAGUCUGGCAUUCCAACGGACGAUUCAGCUACUAUGGAGCCUAGCAAGAUUGAUCUCUUACACCCCUCAACAAUGCCUGAGCAGUCAUCUGUGCAGACCCCUGAGUUGUUUAAAGGUGUAUUAAAAGAAUAUCAGUUAAAGGGCUUGCAGUGGCUGGUCAAUUGCUAUGAACAGGGGUUAAAUGGCAUUCUUGCUGACGAGAUGGGUCUUGGCAAAACUGUGCAGGCUAUGGCAUUCUUAUCCCACUUGGCUGAGGAUAAAAACAUAUGGGGUCCCUUCCUGGUGGUUGCUCCUGCAUCUGUUGUGAAUAAUUGGGCUGAAGAGGUAAUCAGAUUCUGCCCUGAUCUUAAGAUACUCCCAUAUUGGGGCCCAGAAAGGGUGGUUCUUCGCAAGAACAUCAAUCCCAAGCGUCUUUAUCGGAGAGAUGCUAGCUUCCACAUUCUCAUCACAAAUUAUCAGAUACUUGUGAAUGAAGAGAAGCUUUUGAGACGUGUUAAGUGGCAGUACAUGGUAUUGGAUGAGGCCCAGGCUAUAAAAAGUUCAAGCAGCCAGCGCUGGAAGACUUUGCUGAGCUUUAACUGUAGAAAUCGCUUGCUUCUUACUGGGACACCAAUUCAGAACAACAUGGCUGAGCUAUGGGCACUUCUUCAUUUCAUCAUGCCCACUUUGUUUGACAGCCACGAACAGUUUAAUGAGUGGUUCUCAAAAGGGAUUGAGGGCCAUGCUGAACAUGGAGGGACCUUGAACGAACAUCAACUUAGUCGACUGCAUGCUAUAUUGAAGCCGUUUAUGCUCCGCCGUGUUAAGAUUGAUGUCAUAGCAGAAAUGACGGAAAAGAAAGAAGAAAUUGUGCCCUGCAGAUUGAGUUCUCGCCAGCAAAUCUUCUAUCAAGCCAUAAAGAAUAAGAUCUCUCUUAAUGAGUUGCUUGAUGGAAGUCGUGGCAAUCUAAAUGAUAAGAAGCUGCUUAGCCUGAUGAAUAUUGUCAUGCAGCUACGUAAGGUCUGCAAUCAUCCAGAGCUGUUCGAGCGCAAUGAGGGAAGCUAUUACUUUUAUUUUGCGGAAAUCCCAAAUUCUCUUCUUCCUCCCCCAUUUGGGGAGUUGCAAGAUAUACAUUAUGCAGGCAAGAGGAAUCCUAUAGUGUUUGAGAUUCCGAAGUUAGUUUAUGAAGGGAUCAUCUGUAACACAGAAAUACCCGUCGAUGGUUGUGGAUUCCGGAAUGGAUAUAUCAACAGGCUGUUCAAUAUUUUUUUGCCAAGCAAUAUCCAUAAUUCGGCAGUUCCAGAAUCAACUUCACGAACCACAUCUAUUCUGCCAUCUGGUGCAUUUGGCUUUACACGUUUAACGAAUCUGUCCCCAGUUGAAGCUUCCUUCCUGGUCACUUCUUCAUUAUUUGAGAGACUAGUGUUUUCAGCGACACGUUGCAAGAUGGAGUAUGUUGAUGAAAUCGUGGAUCUAUUCCUUGAUUCAGAAGGUUCUGAUCUCCAGCUCAGUCAGUAUGAUGCCACAAAAGUCCGGGCUGUUACUAGAUUAUUGCUUUCACCUAAAAGGGCAGACUCCAGUUUGCUCAGAACAAAAUUUGAAAUAGGCCUGAGCGAUAACCCGUGUGAAGCACUAGUGCUUUCUCACCAUGAUAGGCUUGUCUCGAACAUACGGCUUCUUCGUUCAACAUAUGGUUUUAUCCCACCAGCUAGAGCACCGCCGAUAAAUGUCUGUUGUUCAGAUCGGAAUUUUGCCUACAAGUUAACAGAUGAGAUGCAUGAUCCCUGGAUCAAGAAGCUGUUUCUGGGAUUUGCUCGCAUUUCCGAGUUUAAUGGUCCUAGAAUACUGAAUGGUCAUAAUACUUUCAUACAGGAAGUAUGUACUGAUUUGCCCAUCCCUGAGCCGAUGCUACAGUUACCGUACAGGAUAUUCGGGUCAUCUCCGCCUAUGAGUAAUUUUGAUCCAGCUAAAAUGCUCACGGAUUCUGGGAAGCUCCACACGUUAGAUAAACUACUGCGGCAACUCCGAGCUGAAAAUCACCGUGUGCUCCUAUUUGCUCAGAUGACUAAAAUGUUGGACAUCCUUGAGGACUACAUGAAUUUCAGGAAAUUCAAGUAUUUCAGACUGGACGGGUCUUCUGCAAUUUCUGAUCGUCGUGACAUGGUCCGGAAUUUCCAGAACAGGAAUGAUAUAUUUGUCUUCUUGCUAAGUACAAGAGCUGGGGGACUAGGAAUUAAUUUGACUGCUGCUGACACGGUUAUAUUUUACGAAAUUGACUGGAAUCCGACACAAGACCAGCAGGCAAUGGAUAGAACACACAGACUUGGUCAGACGAAGGAGGUAACCGUGUAUAGACUUAUAUGCAAAGACACUAUUGAGGAGAAAAUCUUGCAAAGGGCAAAGCAGAAGAAUGCAGUGCAAGAGUUGGUUAUGAAAGGGAAACAAGUUCAGGAUGAUCAUCUGAUGAGACAAGAGGAUGUUGUUUCAUUACUUCUUGAUGAUACACAGAUUGCACACAAAUUGAAAGAAAUAUCAAUGCAGGCAAAGGAUCGAUUAAAGAAGAGGCGAGCAAAGGCCAUCAAGGUUGACAAAGAAGGAGAUUUGAAGCUUGAAGACUUGGAUGAUCCAACUGAAGAACCUGUAGAACAAGAUAAUACAACCAGCAAAAAGAAAAAAAGCUCGCACAAGAAACCUCCAAAGUCACAGGAUAAUGAUGGUGCGGAUGGCGAUGUUCCUGAGAGUGGUCCUGUCAAAAAUGAGGAGCAUAUUGCUUCCCUGAGGCCUAAAAGAUCAAAGAGACUAGUGAGGAGCACGGGUGAGGAUAAGGAACCCGUUGCUGCUUGUGAUGUUGAGAAACCUGCAGAUGCAGCUGAAAACAAUGACAACAAUGAUGCAGAAGAGUUGCAAGACCAGACUCCUUCUGCCUAG
rnacentral:rRNA from 1 species